rnacentral:rRNA from 1 species
CACGUAGGGCGCAAGCGUUGUCCGGAAUUAUUGGGCGUAAAGAGCUCGUAGGCGGUCUGUUGCGUCCGCUGUGAAAACUCGGGGCUUAACCCCGAGCCUGCAGUGGAUACGGGCAGACUAGAGGUAGGUAGGGGAGAAUGGAAUUCCCGGUGUAGCGGUGAAAUGCGCAGAUAUCGGGAGGAACACCGGUGGCGAAGGCGGUUCUCUGGGCCGACCCUGACGCUGAGGCGCGAAGGCGUGGGGAGCGAACGGG